rnacentral:misc_RNA from 1 species
CGCCCUUGCGGCUGGAUCCCCUCCUUUUAAAGUGUACUUAUAAACGCGUCCCAUCUCGGGGCGCGAGUUCCCUCACAAGUUACUUGGUUCUAGAAGCACGGAGUCCGUAAAGGCUCCGCUUUGAGCCGAUCUCGGGGUCUGUAGCUCAGUUGGUUAGAGCACGCGCUUGAUAAGCGCGGGGUCGAUGGUUCGAGUCCAUCCAGACCCACCAACUCGCAGGCUCGCUAAGGGAUCAGAUACCAGGUUCGCGCAGGUUCUCCUGCCGUUUCGCCGUCUCCAAGACGGUGGCGGGGGAAGCGGGCGAGGGGCUGUAGCUCAGCUGGGAGAGCACCUGCUUUGCAAGCAGGGGGUCACCGGUUCGAUCCCGGUCAGCUCCACCAGAUCUUCAUUCUCCGUGCUCCAUCGUGUGACCACCUCUGCGUAUCUAUAUAUACGUAUGCAGUGGUGGUCUCACUGUGGCGGUGUUCAUCACCGUCGUGUUCUUUAACAAUCUGGGAAAGUUGUUGGCGCUUAGGAUUUGGAUCCGGCCCUUGCAGGCCGUGUCCAUCUCCAAUGUAUGUCAGUCAUUUGUGGAGAAUUUUUACCAGCAGAUGAAAAUCUUGUUGCGCAUGUGACCUCAGACUAUUUGAGGUUAUAUGGUCAAGCGAACAAGCGCAUACGGUGGAUGCCUAGGCGGUAGGAGGCGAUGAAGGACGUAGUAGCCUGCGAUAAGCUUCGGGGAGUCGGCAAACAGACUUUGAUCCGGAGAUUUCCGAAUGGGGAAACCCGGAAGGGCGA